rnacentral:rRNA from 1 species
UCUUGUAAUUGGAAUGAUGGGAAUUUAAACCUCUUCCAGAGUAUCAAUUGGAGGGCAAGUCUGGUGCCAGCAGCCGCGGUAAUUCCAGCUCCAAUAGCGUAUAUUAAAAUUGUUGCAGUUAAAAAGCUCGUAGUUGAAUUUCUGCUGCAUUGCUUUUGCUCCUUUACGAGUCUUUGCAUUGUGGCUUAUUUCGGACUUUGUUUUACAAUGUCCGGAUGUUUACUUUGAGAAAAUUAGAGUGCUCAAAGCAGGCUUUCGCCUUGAAUAGUUUAGCAUGGAAUAAUAAAGUAGGACUUUGGUUCUAUUUUGUUGGUUUUAGGUACCAAAGUAAUGGUUAAUAGGAACAGUUGGGGGCAUUCGUAUUUAACUGUCAGAGGUGAAAUUCUUAGAUUUGUUAAAGACGAACUACUGCGAAAGCAUUUGCCAAGGAUGUUUUCAUUAAUCAAGAACGAAAGUUAGGGGAUCGAAGACGAUCAGAUACCGUCGUAGUCCUAACCA